UAUUGGGUUUUGGGUUAGACGAACGACAAGGGUCGCGGAUAGACGAGUUUUAUUACGCCCUAAAUAUCGAAUCGGACUUGGCAUUGUCCAGCAGAGGCGAGAGAGAGGAAAGAGGGGCGUCAUGGCAGGGGUUGAAGUGGAACCACGCAAGGGAGACACACGGCAGGCGACGCAGGAGAAGCACGGGGUGGCCAAUCCUCCUCCUCCUGUGGCGAUGGUCACUUUUCCGGACGCCGCUCGCCGAAGAGCCCAGAGCUUCCCCCCGCCUCUCAAGUUGGAGUGCGAGGAUUCCACCGAAGACAUGAACCCGCGCAACUUGUGGCAGGUGUAUGCUCUUGGAGGAUUUAUGAUCUCAAAGUGGAUUUGGGCUCGCUGGAGGGAGAGGAACAAUAGAGGGACAUCAGAUGAGGAUUCAUCUACUUGAAACAAAAAAUUUCACUUUCAAAAGCCUGAAUAUUGGUAAAGAUUUCUUUUCGUACCACUUAUGGAUACAAGCAUAAUGCUCAUAUUUGUGAUGUGAUUGAAGUCAGUGCAAACAGGAUUUGUCACACUUCUAGUUUUGCAUUGGAAAGCAUUCAACGUUAAUGUA